rnacentral:tRNA from 1 species
UGCAUCGGCCGGGAAUCGAACCCGGGGAGCCCACGUGGCAGGCGAGAAUUCUACCACUGAACCACCGAUGG